rfam:Myotis lucifugus cont2.8308, whole genome shotgun sequence.
GGCGGUUCUCGGGUGACACACCCUGGAAUCAGGCUUCCUCCUCUUUGGUUCUGGGUGUGUCACCUAAGAACCACA